rnacentral:lncRNA from 1 species
GAACCCUGCUCAAACAGAGAAGAGGUUGGAGCUUGAAUCCUGAAGGCUGCACAGCCCAGCGAAAGGAGGGUGAGCUUUCAGCUGAGGCGUCUGGAUUCCAGCCUGGCUCUGACAUUCCCUGGACUGGAUUGGGUGACUCCUCCUCUCCUAAUGGAGACAAGGUUGGUUGAAUUCAAGUCAUCUAUUAAGAAUCUGGCACGCUGAAGGCACUUGUCC